CUGUAAUGAAGUCACCUGGAAAAAGCUGUUGAAACUGCUAAAAGCAAGCAUUAAAAUUCAGCUAGUACUUGCAACCACUAAAUUAGAGAACAGCAUCCUAGAAGCUGUACUACUACUUGAAAGUAGGAUUCUCACUUGCUGAAGUGUUGUUGAAUAGAAAGCUUUAAAACCAGAAGGUUAGAAAAUCUUCAAAGACCAGGGAAGAUUUGUGUGUCAGUGUCAAGUAAACACAAAGAGACAAGUGUUCUCUUUUGAGGUUGCUUUUUAUUCCAGUGAGUAACUUCAAAGGCAGGGGCAUCCUAAUGCGAGGAGAAGGGAAUUGUCAGGACCUCUUCCAGAGAUGUGCUCUGGAUCUCAGUUUCACAACCCACCUGGCUAAGGAGGAGUGUUAAAAGAUGUUAAGAAGGGUGCUGGUUUUUUUCUUCCUCGUCAUCAAUCGUUUUUGUUUUAUUUCGUUGGCUGUACUGCACUACUUUUUGCAUAGUGUAACCGUGAGGUCAUUGUGAGGUUAAUUUAUUUCUCAUAAAGAUGAGCCCUUAGCAGAACACCACUGGCACAGAGGAACAGAAGUAACUGCUACUGCAGCAAUCCCCUGGACUGAAGAACAGAUUAUUUCUUCCUUCAGGGGCAGAAUAUCCAAGUGAAUCUGAAUAUUGGUGUAGAAGAAAAUGCAAGUCACAUCUUGAAGCAGUGUUUGCGCACCUACUACGAAGGCAGGGCCAACCCAGGGGAGCUCAUGCAAUGCACCAGAGCGACUGGAAGUGGUGGAGCCAGGAUCCACCUCUUCCCAGACCUCACUGAAGGGCUGGCAGUGAAGGCAAGAGUAUCUCACUGGAGAUCCCUUCCUACCCGUGGCCCUCUGAAGAAGUCACUAUUGAAGGGUAUACGCUGAAAACAUUGUGAUCUUCCUGGACAACAAGAAUAUUACCUGUGAUUCCUUGCAGUCUGGGGACCUGGAAGGGGAUUGAGCACCCCAGAAAAGGGUGCAAAGGUUGGAGCCCUCAAGGUAAUGAGCCACGGGCUGGGGAAGCAAUGCACGAAGGAGCAAAAAUGCCUAGGUGUGUCAGGCCCGACGGUAAGGGUCCUAUCAUCAGUUACAAAAGGAGAAACAAAAAUGUGGUCAAUAGUAACAGUCUCUACUGUGUUACCUGGGUUGUGGGUUAACUGCUUCAUGUUCUUCCCUCUCAGAAACUUGUACUUCAGUAUGAUAUGGCACAAGGUUUUAUUUGUGUGCCAGCCCACAUCAGCCCCUGCUGGGGCCUAACUGCAGAUUGUAGUGUCAGUGCUCUGCUUUUUCUCACCUUGGUCUUAAAGAGCCUAAAGCA
ensembl:lncRNA